ensembl:lncRNA
AAUAAAUGUUUUUGAAAUAGCAAUCGUGGAAUCAACAGCUGGAUACAGCUUUUUGCCUGUCUCAGCAACCACACUGUCUUCUGCUUAUGGUAAUUUGUAAGGGUGCCUUAUAAUGUCUGAACACCAGGCUUUUAUAGGCAAUCAGUAAUUUGCAGGUUCACUUCACAGAAUAGACAGUAAUGACCUUGUGCUUCUGGAAGGCAAAAGCAAAAUGGAUGAGGAAAAUUCACAGUACAGAUGAACAACUCUGCAAGGAUUAUUGUUGGAUUACAAGCUGUUCACUCUGUCUUUAUUGGUGGGGGAGAAGGAAUGUAAGGAUGUUACUUGGUUGAUCCGUCUUCUCAAAUUCCCAUGUUACCUUAUGUUUAUUUUGUCUUCUGGUACUAUGUGGUGUUUUAGUAAAUACUGUUCUUAUUAAUGUGUUAGGCUAUUUGCAGGCAACUCAGAUGGUGCCAGUGUAAGGAACCAGAAGUGUGAAUAUCUGAUGCUCUCUUUCAGUAGUUCAUGGCUGAAGCAAGUAUUUUUUUUUUUAACUGUUCGUACUGGACUGUAGUGAUGCCUACGUGUACAUAAACAGGAUCUUAUGUAAUGGUUGGUCUUGAGGAAACCCUGGUGAUAACUGUUUUUAUCAGAGUAUUAAUUAUUGCCUCUUUGAGGUCCGAACAUUGAUUUCUCAUCUUGUAUUUCCUUUAUUUCCUUAAACGUUUUGCAAAAUCUCUUAGCUGAUAGAAAUUUCUCAUGGUCUUCUAGAAGGAGAGAAGCCCAAUAGGAAUAUUUUUAAUACAAUUAAAUUACCUUUACUUGUCUAGGUGACCUGGCACUUUGGAGAUCAUAGUUUUAAGAAUCAAUAACUCAUUUGCUGAAACAGAUACAAAAUGGACUAUGGUAUUGUGUCCAUCUGCAGUUAAUUCUGUGGAAACGAGAAGUUCUCAUCUGGCAUUGAUGUUUAAGUGAGAACAUGUUCCUCAAUAUCUAUAAAAGGGCCUCAAAAUGGAAGGCCUUGCUUUCACUUCUGUGAAGGCUCUUACUUGGCAGUAUUUCACAAACUGAGCACAAAUGUUAUGUGCAAGG